UUCCAUGGUGCUAAUUGGGGAUGAGC
rnacentral:piRNA from 1 species